rnacentral:lncRNA from 1 species
UAUGAGAUCAUGUUGGCUGAAACCAUCCCUAGCAAGUGAGGUAUAAAGUACUAAAUCACAAAUUAAAAACAAUACCUAUUAGACCUCAGAACCUGAACACCUCUGCCAUCCCUUCUGACUGCAUCCAAUUUAAGGGAAGAAAUUGUGAGAUAUUACAAAUAUAUUAGAAAUUGGGGGUUGUAAUUGAAAUGUAUUAUCUUCCCAAUAAAUUUCGUGUCGUGGUGCA